AGCCUGAUCCAAGCAAUGAAAGCCUGUGACAAAAGCGGGGCGUGGGUGUUGAAGGCUCAGGGGGGAUAACUCCCUUUUGCCGAAGAAGAAUUUGGGCGGUCGCCGCCGAAUAAAGCAGGGCCAACUAAGUCCCAGCAACCAGCGUAAGAGGUAGGGGGGGAGCGUUAUCCGGAUAUAAUUGGUGUAAAGCGUACGUAGGCGGCUCCAAAAUUCUGUCUCGAAAUUUCCCCCCUCAACCGGGAGCGGCCGAUGGUAACUGAGGCCCUCGAGGGGUAUAGAGGCAAGAGGAAGUAUAGGAGUAGUGGUGGAAGAAGUCGAUACCGGGAGGAACACCAGUGGCGCAGGCGGGGUGCCAGUCGCAUCCUGACGUUGAGGUACGAAAGCGUGGGUAGCGAACCGGAUUAGAUACCCUGGUAGUCCACGCCGUA
rnacentral:rRNA from 1 species